AGGACAAACGCUGGCGGCGUGUAUUAGGCAUGCAAGUCGAGCGAGAAGCUGACCUUCGGGUUGGCGGACAGCGGCGGACGGGUGAGUAACACGUGGAUAACCUACCUAGUAGUGGGGAACAACUCGCCGAAAGGCGGGCUAAUACCGCAUAACACUCCCGGUGAGAUUCCGGGUAGUAAAAGCUUCGGCGCUACUAGACGGGUCUGCGGUCGAUUAGUUUGUUGGUGGGGUAACGGCUCACCAAGGCGACGAUCGAUAGCUGGUCUGAGAGGAUGAUCAGCCACACGGGGACUGAGACACGGCCCCGACUCCUACGGGAGGCAGCAGCUAAGAAUCUGCGCAAUGGGCGAAAGCCUGACGCAGCAACGCCGCGGUGGGGGAGAAGGCCUUCGGGUUGUAAACCCGUUUGCGAGGGAAGAAGUUCUGACGGUACCUCGCGAAUAAGCCACGGCCUAACUACGUGUCAGCAGCCGAC
rnacentral:rRNA from 1 species